rnacentral:misc_RNA from 1 species
GUGAUACUCUCAGCCAGUUUUACUCUUUAGUUUAGCAGAAUUACUCUGGUUGGUCUCAGUGCUUGGGUCAAUUGGUUUGCCCUUCGCUGUGAAUUGGGUAAGUAUUACAUUGUGCCAUGCUGAUCAGUAAUGUUUAGAUUGUUGCAUACAAUCAGAUUUGUUUGUUGUAUAUCACACGUGAAAAUUUAACAGUUAGCUUUAUAGAUGGUGUUAAUGCG